ACGAACGCUGGCGGCGUGCCUAAUACAUGCAAGUCGAACGGUCUUUCUAUGGAAGCUUGCUUCCACUGAGAAGAUAGUGGCGAACGGGUGAGUAACACGUGGGUAACCUGCCCAUAAGAGGGGGAUAACAUCCGGAAACGGGUGCUAAUACCGCAUAGUUUUCUUGAUCGCAUGAUUGAGAAAGGAAAGACGGCCUUUGUGCUGUCGCUUAUGGAUGGACCCGCGGCGUAUUAGUUAGUUGGUGAGGUAACGGCUCACCAAGACGAUGAUACGUAGCCGACCUGAGAGGGUGAUCGGCCACAUUGGGACUGAGACACGGUCCAAACUCCUACGGGAGGCAGCAGUAGGGAAUCUUCCGCAAUGGACGAAAGUCUGACGGAGCAACGCCGCGUGAGUGAAGAAAGGCUUUCGGAUCGUAAAACUCUGUUGUCAGAGAAGAACAAGUUGGAGAGUAACUGCUCCAGCCUUGACGGUAUCUGACCAGAAAGCCACGGCUAACUACGUGCCAGCCGCGGC
rnacentral:rRNA from 1 species